AUCCCCCUCCCGCACUCGCGCCUCCCCCGCACCCGGCUCCUCCCGCCUCGCCGCCUCCUUGCUUGAAGAUCCAGAGCGAGCCGCUGCCGCUGCAUCUUCUCCUCCUCCUCAAGCGCACCAUCCCAAUCUCCCGUGCUCCAACUCCACCCCGCUCCCCUCCCUGGCGGCGCUCCCGACCGCCGCCAUCGCGACGUCUUCUUCUCCCCCACCGUCGAACUCAGGCCGCCGCUCCGCCCCCCGUCCCCGUCGCACCUCCCCUCGAGCCACCGGCUGGUGCUCUCUCUUCAAGGGAGGAGCAACUCUCCCUCACGGAGGGGGUGGGGUGAUGCUCAAGGACGGGGCAGCCGCGGGCUCCGGCACAGGCGCGUGGGUACCGCCGCCGUGGCUCACCCCACCCACGUGGUCCUGGUUCCUCUCAGAUGCGGCCUAGGAGGACGCUCUCUCGCGUAGUGUGGCUGCUGCCCAUGUUGCCUCUGCCGUGAGCACCGUGGAGGAGGAGCAGUCGCUAGGAAAGAGAAAGAGGAGGCUGGUGAGAGCUCGUGCCGGUCGGCGACGGCGUGGCCGGUGCUAGAUUUGGAUGGGACGACUGCUACCCGCUCCACCGCUCUAGAAUGACAUGCUGCAAAUAGUUUAGGUUUGAACAAGGAAUGCAAAAUUCAAGGAUUGAGCCAGUGCUGGUCUAUAUUUCAUAUUGGUUUUUGCACCCUGCAGCCAGUGGUAAGACACACAAUAACUGGAUUAAGUUAUCCUGCUGUGUGAAGGGGGGGCUCCUCUUUUUGCCAGACUAACAUAUUAUUGGGAUAUUUGACUUCUUGUUGAGACAGUUAACAAAAGGGAUUGCACUCUUUGUGAUGAGGGUCUCCCUUUUUAGUUCAGCUCUGUUAUUCACAAACUAGGCAUCAAAAAUAUUAUUGCAACAUCUAAAGAAUGUUGCCAUACCUGUGCUCACCUAUAUAAUUCCUUGGUCACUAAAUAAUUGUAAAUGCCCUUUUAAUUAGUACUGAUAUUUCUAGGAUACAUUGUUCACCUCAGAAGGCCCUGUUUCACUUUCUCCUUUUUCUUCUUUUGUCCUUCAUUAUCUUUUAGCUAAUAAUGUGAUCCUUGUAUUUGCGUAUUUUAGAGUAUAUAUCAUGUGAAGAUACUGAAGCUUAACUUCAUGAGAGAAAGGAAAACGCUUGGGAAUUUAAAGGUUUAGAUGAGCGUUCCGUGGUUAUUCUGCCAUUGCCGAUGUAAGCUUCGCCGGCUCUUUACAUUUUUAUGAGCACGAUGUAUGUGCUUUCUGUGAGAGUAAGGUAGUAAUACAACACAAGAUGAUGUUGCCUGCCGCUGUGUAUCCGUUGUUUGGGAGUGAGGUGGUAUAAACUCCAUAUUUCCGACAUCAGAAGGAAAUCACAAAAAGAGUAUAGAUGCACUUGCUCGAUUAACAAAGCUUGUACCUAAGAGCAGGUCUGGUUCAUGCUUUAGGGAGGUUAAAUAAAUUUCAGUCAGACGCAAAGUAAUUUCUAGCAUAGUUGCAUUUGACCAUCAGUAGAUCAUUAUAUAUAACAGGACUAUAGAACAAAGUACAGAAAAUCAUAACUUUUAGAACUGAUUGUAUUUCAGAUUCAGUGGCUUCGCUACCGUUUUAGCUUAAUGACGUCUUCCAGUUCCCAGCUAUGCAAGUCUAAUAUAUUUGCAUAUGUUAGAUUCAUGGAUCGAUUUGAGCCGGCGAGCCACUUGCACUUCUUGAAGCUACCAACAAACCAGCAAAGGUGCACAUCCCUGCAAACCAGAUUGAGCAUAAGACACUGGCUGAGCCCUGUGCAUUGAGAGCGUACCCGUUUUGCCUGAAGGUUUCAGAUGCACUAUCAUCAUAAAAUAUGGUCCCUGGGGAGUCAUGGUGGUUUGUUUCCUGCAAUAGACAUGGCAAAAAAAUCUCUGCCACAUGGAGAUGGCUGCUGCUGCACUGCAUGUGGAUACAGAGGAAAGAAGUUCAGGCAAAAUUCCAUUAGGCUUUGCUCUACUCUUAGUUACCAUGAGAGUAGGAUGGACAAGGGUGUCAUGUGUAUAUAUGUGAUAGCCGUGGUGUCCCUGACAUUUACGACGAAGAUGGAGCUAGCACGAUUGCUGCAUCAGAACCUUCAGUUGUCCUGGUACAAGCUACCUUUGCUUACAAUGCCGCAAUUAGAGAUUUUCUUGAUCAAUGGUAUGACACUGUAUGCAUCAGAACCUUUAGUUGUCAUGGUGCAUCUUGUGCAGCGAAGCUUUAGUACCAAAGCAUUUGAAUAAAUCAAAUAAAUAAUCUCUUUUCUGGGUUCUGGAAUGAUAUUUGGAACAAUUUAAUACUCUCCAUGAGAUUUUAAUUCAUAUCCUGGAUAGUAAAGUAUUUGGUGUCCAGUAUAGUAUUUUGGGAAGUUUUAGGACCAUGUUCAUAUUUUGGACUUUUUAGGCAUAUUUUUCUGCGGCAGUGUUCGUGUUGAGUUUUGACUAAGCUUUUUGGGCAUUGUUUGUUGCCUGUUAAAGUUCAAAUCAGUAGACACUUUACUACCAAAUGAUGCAAUAUCAGGCCUCUCAAUCUUGUGACUUGCCUGCUAAGUUGAUAUAAUAUAUGAGUGUGCUUGUCAGUGUCAGUGUGUGUGAGCGUGUGUGUGUGUGUGUGUGUGUGUGUGUGAAGUUCUGCUCUGAACAAAUAUAUGAGACACACAAAUGCAUAUAUGUGUAUUCAUGUCCAGUUGUUGCGGCAGGUGCAAUUAUAUUUUGAUCCAAAUCUCUAAACAAGCAUAUGUACGAAUACUAACGACAAUGCAGUUUUGCUCUUCCUAGGAUGGCCUGGAUGGCCUGAGAUGAGCAGCCUUUGAUACGCCGUGUUAGGCGCCCAGGUGCUGCCUUUCUGAUAAAUCCAGCUGCCACCGACCAGCACGAGCUCGCUUCAGCCUCCUCCUCUAGCCCUUAACGGCCUCCUCCUCCGAUCUUGCAGCUACUGCCUCAUCGCCAACGUUUUGAUAGUGUGAUCGAAGCAUAUGGUUUUAUACAGACUUUUGAAGAAGCUUGUAUUUACAAGAAAGUGAGUGGGAGCUCUGUAGCAUUUCUGAUAUUAUAUGUAGAUGACAUAUUAUUAAUUGGAAAUGAUAUAGAAUUUAUGGAUAG